rnacentral:misc_RNA from 1 species
UUAUUUUAUUUAAAUAUUUUCAGAUUUAACAUGGUUAAAAGAGUUUAUUAAGGGCUAUUGACGAGCACUGGCCAGGGGUUAAAAACUCCCGGCGGUCCGGUUAAAGACGGGCCCGCCAAAGCAACAUGGUAGUUAUACAAAGGGUUGGAGAUCGGGCCUAGAAGACCCUAACUCAUUAAUGAUCCUUCCGCAGGUUCACCUACGGAAA